rnacentral:rRNA from 1 species
UUUACGACUCUCGAUAAUGUAUAUCUUAGAUCUCGCAUCGAUGAAGAACGCAGCGAAAUGCGAUACUUGGUGUGAAUUGCAGAAUCCCGUGAACCAUCGAGUCUUUGAACGCAAGUUGCGCCCGAGGCUAUCCGGCCGAGGGCACGCCUGCCUG